UUCGCAUGAAUGGAGACGAAUUUCAGAAACAGGAGAUGAUUCAGAGAUUGAAACCCUAGUUUCUUCAUCAAUGUUCCAAUCGUUAAUUUCUGUUUGAUUUUAAUCUUCGGCGUGCAAAAACUCCGAUUCUGUUGGUCAAUUUCAUAGCAAUUGGAUUUUACCUCGAUUCGAUCUGAGGACUUUUGGGUCUUUUUUUGCUAAUCGAAGCGGUGAGGAAUAUUUAGGCAGGUGAUUGUAGAGGAUAAUUUUGUUUGAAAAAAUGCCGUCGCACGCGGAUGUAGAUCGGCAGAUCGAGCAAUUGAUGGAGUGCAAGCCGUUAUCGGAGGCGGAGGUGAAGAUGUUGUGUGAACAAGCAAGGGCGAUACUAGUGGAGGAAUGGAAUGUGCAACCGGUGAAAUGUCCGGUGACGGUGUGCGGUGAUAUCCAUGGACAGUUUUACGAUCUGAUUGAGCUUUUUCGAAUCGGCGGCAACGCUCCUGAUACUAAUUAUCUCUUCAUGGGCGAUUAUGUUGACCGUGGAUACUAUUCAGUGGAG
rnacentral:misc_RNA from 1 species